rnacentral:rRNA from 1 species
GACGAACGCUGGCGGCGUGCUUAACACAUGCAAGUCGAACGGAAAGGCCCUGCUUUUGUGGGGUGCUCGAGUGGCGAACGGGUGAGUAACACGUGAGUAACCUGCCCUUGACUUUGGGAUAACUUCAGGAAACUGGGGCUAAUACCGGAUAGGAGCUCCUGCUGCAUGGUGGGGGUUGGAAAGUUUCGGCGGUUGGGGAUGGACACGCGGCUUAUCAGCUUGUUGGUGAGGUAGUGGCUUACCAAGGCUUUGACGGGUAGCCGGCCUGGGAGGGUGACCGGCCACAGUGGGACUGAGAUGCGGCCCAGACUCCUACGGGAGGCAGCAGUGGGGAAUAGUGCACAAUGGGCGGAAGCCUGAUGCAGCAACGCCGCGUGCGGGAUGACGGCCUUCGGGUUGUAAACCGCUUUCGCCUGUGACGAAGCGUGAGUGACGGUAAUGGGUAAAGAAGCACCGGCUAACUACGUG